rnacentral:tRNA from 1 species
GAGCACCUGCCUUACAAGCAGGGGGUCGGCGGUUCGAUCCCGUCAUCCUCCACCA